UACGUAGGGCGCAAGCGUUGUCCGGAAUUAUUGGGCGUAAAGAGCUCGUAGGCGGUCUGUCGCGUCGGAUGUGAAAAUCCAGGGCUUAACCCUGGACCUGCAUUCGAUACGGGCAGACUAGAGUUCGGUAGGGGAGACUGGAAUUCCUGGUGUAGCGGUGAAAUGCGCAGAUAUCAGGAGGAACACCGGUGGCGAAGGCGGUUCUCUGGGCAUGAUCUGACGCUGAGGAGCGAAAGUGUGGGGAGCGAACAGG
rnacentral:rRNA from 1 species